AAUCCCGUACUUGACAUGACUACCGAUGUUCUGUGAUACAUUUUCUACGAGUCGAGUUGUUUGGGAAUGCAGCUCUAAAUGGGUGGUAAAUUCCAUCUAAAGCUAAAUAUUGGUGAGAGACCGAUAGCGAACAAGUACCGUGAGGGAAAGAUGAAAAGCACUUUGGAAAGAGAGUUAAACAGUACGUGAAAUUGUUGAAAGGGAAACGAUUGAAGUCAGUCAUGUCUGUUGGUUUCAGCUUGCCCUGCAAGUGUAUUACCUUCAGACGGGUCAACAUCAGUUUUGGUGCGGUGGAUAAGAGCGGAUUGAAGGUGGCACCCUCGGGUGUGUUAUAGCUUUCUGUUGCAUACACUGCCUGAGACUGAGGACUGCAGCUCGCCUUUAUGGCCGCCCCUCGGGGACGUUCGAGCUUAGGAUGUUGGCAUAAUGGCUUUAAACGACCCGUCUUGAAACACGG
rnacentral:rRNA from 1 species